GCGGCCGCAGAGUUUGAUCAUGGCUCAGAAUCAACGCUGGCGGCGUGCCUAACACAUGCAAGUCGAACGCGAAAGGGGAGCAAUCCCUGAGUAGAGUGGCAAACGGGUGAGUAACACGUGGGUGACCUGCCUUCGAGUGGGGGAUAACGUCCCGAAAGGGACGCUAAUACCGCAUGACAUCCUGUCCUUAGACGGACGGAGAUCAAAGCUAGGGAUCGCAAGACCUGGCGCUUGAAGAGGGGCCCGCGCCUGAUUAGCUAGUUGGUGGGGUAAAAGCCUACUAAGGCGACGAUCUGUAGCUGGUCUGAGAGGACGACCAGCCACACUGGGACUGAGACACGGCCCAGACUCCUACGGGAGGCAGCAGUGGGGAAUUUUGGACAAUGGGCGCUAGCCUGAUCCAGCCAUGCCGCGUGCGGGAAGAAGGCCUUCGGGUUGUAAACCGCUUUUGUCAGGGAAGAAACGCUCCGAGUUAAUACCUCGGAGUAAUGACGGUACCUGAAGAAUAAGCACCGGCUAAUA
rnacentral:rRNA from 1 species